rnacentral:tRNA from 1 species
UGGGGAGUAGCCAAGUGGUAAGGCACGGGACUUUGACUCCCGGAGCGCAGGUUCGAUCCCUGCCUCCCCAACCA